CAUUACCGGCUGGCAUUAGGCAUGCAGUCGAGCGAGAAGGUUUCUUUUGCUUGCAUUAGAAACUGGAAAGCGGCGAAAGGGAGAGUAACGCGUAGAUACGUACCCAGGGGUUCGGGAUAGCGGGGGGAAACCGCCGGUAAUACCGAAUAAUGUCUCCGGACCAAAGAUUUAUUGCCCUUGGAGCGGUCUGCGUCCUAUUAGCUUGUUGGUGGGGUAAUGGCCUACCAAGGCGAUGAUGGGUAGCGGGUGUGAGAGCAUGGCCCGUCUCACUGGGACUGAGACACUGCCCAGACACCUACGGGUGGCUGCAGUCGAGAAUCUUCCGCAAUGGACGAAAGUCUGACGGAGCGACGCCGCGUGCGGGAUUAAGGCCUUCGGGUUGUAAACCGCUGUCAUAGGGGAGGAAAUUUUGACCGAUCCUAAGAGGAAGCACAGGCUAAGUUCGUGCCAGCAGCCGCGGUAAUACGAACUGUGCGAACGUUAUUCGG
rnacentral:rRNA from 1 species